UCUACGGGUGUGCAGCAGUGGGGAAUAUUGGACAAUGGGCGAAAGCCUGAUCCAGCCAUGCCGCGUGUGUGAAGAAGGCCUUCGGGUUGUAAAGCACUUUCAGUGGGGAAGAAAGCCUUGGGGCUAAUACCCUCGAGGAAGGACAUCACCCACAGAAGAAGCACCGGCUAACUCCGUGCCAGCAGCCGCGGUAAUACGGAGGGUGCGAGCGUUAAUCGGAAUUACUGGGCGUAAAGCGCGCGUAGGCGGUCUGAUAAGCCGGUUGUGAAAGCCCCGGGCUCAACCUGGGAACGGCAUCCGGAACUGUCAGGCUAGAGUGCAGGAGAGGAAGGUAGAAUUCCCGGUGUAGCGGUGAAAUGCGUAGAGAUCGGGAGGAAUACCAGUGGCGAAGGCGGCCUUCUGGACUGACACUGACGCUGAGGUGCGAAAGCGUGGGUAGCAAACAGGAUUAGAUACCCUGGUAG
rnacentral:rRNA from 1 species